GAUGAACGCUGGCGGCGUGCUUAACACAUGCAAGUCGAACGGAAAGGCUCCUGCUUGCAGGGGUACUCGAGUGGCGAACGGGUGAGUAACACGUGGGUGAUCUGCCCUGCACUUCGGGAUAAGCCUGGGAAACUGGGUCUAAUACCGGAUAGGACGAUGAUUUGGAUGCCAUUGUGGAAAGUUUUUCGGUGUGGGAUGAGCUCGCGGCCUAUCAGCUUGUUGGUGGGGUAAUGGCCUACCAAGGCGUCGACGGGUAGCCGGCCUGAGAGGGUGUACGGCCACAUUGGGACUGAGAUACGGCCCAGACUCCUACGGGAGGCAGCAGUGGGGAAUAUUGCACAAUGGGCGCAAGCCUGAUGCAGCGACGCCGCGUGGGGGAUGACGGCCUUCGGGUUGUAAACUCCUUUCGCUAGGGACGAAGCGCAAGUGACGGUACCUGGAGAAGAAGCACCGGCUAACUACGUG
rnacentral:rRNA from 1 species